rnacentral:lncRNA from 1 species
UUAGGUUCACCCCUGUACUAACCUGUCACACACUGAAGACUUAGGUUCACCACUGUACUAACCUGUCACACACUGAAGACCUGUAGGUUCACCACUGUACUAACUGUCACACACUGAAGACCGUCUAGGUUCACCCACUGUACUAAACUGUCCACCACUGAGGUCUAUAGGUUCACCCCCUGUACCAACUGUCACACACUGAAGGUCUAUAGGUUCACCACUGUACUAACCUGUCACACACUGAAGGUCUAUAGGUUCACCACUGUACUAACCUGUCACACACUGAAGACCUAUAGGUUCACCACUGUACUAACCUGUCACAAACUGAAGACCUGUAGGUUCACCACUGCGCAAACAUGUCUAUAAGAAAUAUUAUGGCUGUUAAGAUAUUCAUGUUUCAAGAAAGGAGUGUAUAUAUUUGUCCCUGCUAGCUGUCACGUUCUGACCUUAGUUCUGUUAUUAAAUCUUUGUUUUAGUAUGGUCAGGGCGCGAGUUGGGUGGGUAGUCUAUGUUUGUUUUUCUAUGUUGGUUUUUGAGUUCGGCCUAGUAUGGUUCUCAAUCAGAGGCAGCUGUCAAUUGUUGUCCCUGAUUGAGAAUCAUACUUAGGUAGCCUGGGUUUCAGCCUCGGUUUUACAUAUUCACGUCAUCGUUUGUCGUUUGUUGUUUUGUUCGAGUGUUCUAUUGUCUUUAUUAAAAAAUAUUAUGGACACUUACUACGCUGCGCAUUGGUCCUCCGAUCCUUCAUACUACUCUUCGUCUGGAGCGGUUUUAUGCGGUGAUUGAAUGGAAGCUAAUAAUGAGUUUUCUACUCCGCUGGUCUCGUCUGGUCUCUGGAAGAAAUUAACAAAUGUAUCCUACACCGAGGAAAGCAGUUUCAUGGGAUUCCCCUCGGCGUCUUACUAUGACAAUGGCCCAUCUGACUGUGUGGAUUAUGAUGGGACACAUGUACCUUGGAGGCAUGUGAACACAUGCAUAAACACUGCCAUUUGAUUUCCACUUCUCGCCACAUGGUCCAUGGCUACCCUGGCGUGAUCCCUCUGUCCAUUUGGCCAUGGCGGUGGUCUACGUACGCAUCUCUCUCUAUCUAUCUGCCCAUUUCUUUAUCUUUGGUUCAGCUCGCUGGUCUCUCAGGUGAGUAAGUGUGUGACGUCCAAGGCUUCUCUCUUGGCAUUCACCGCGUGCCUUAAUUGUAUUGAAAUUAAAUCAAGGUCCACUGUGAACACAAAGAGCUCAAACCCAAGUUCCAACCUCCUCCUCUUCUCCUUUUCAUCCUGUCCUUCUAGGCUACGUCCCUAUCGCUUACUAUCCCUUUCUCUCAGUUGUCCUUUUUUGCUUGACAUUCGCUGUUCUUUUCCCGCCCCCCUCUUCUCUUCUCAGUCCCACGUAGAGUCUUGUCUGCAUGUGGAUGCCUGCAUGUAGAGUCUUGCACCGCCUGUAGAGUCUUCCACCCCCUGCAGAGUC